rnacentral:lncRNA from 1 species
UAAACAUUCUGAUAUCUCCACUCCCACAAGAAAGAAAGUGUGGGAUAGAUAUACCACCGACACACCUCAGCCAUCGGGAAAAACCAAUGGAAGUACUCAUUGGAGAAAAACCAACAGCUGAAGUGCACCGGAGGAAGCAGUUGGAUAUUUGGGAUAUUUGGGUCAGUUUAAGUAAUUUAAAUCUUUCUGGACUACUGUUCUAAUUGUUGAUGUUGUAAUGAAUGACAUCACAGUGACAUUAAAAUCUCAUAAGCUUGAUAUCAUCAUGAUGUAAUAAUGAGUGACAUCAAAAAUUUCCACUGUAUGACAUAAUACUGGCUAACAUCUUAGAAUAUCACCCAUGUGUAAUGUCAGUAUAAUGUAGUAAUGAAUGAUGACACAGUGUGGUGUCAUUAUGACAUAACCAUUUCAAUGAAAACAGCACUGAAGGCAAGCAGUGUGCGUUGGACAUUUAUUUUGUGGAGCGCUUUCGGACAUUUGAUGGUCCCUCUUCGGUACAUACAAACAUUACAACUCAAUUGUAAUGUUUGUAUGUACUGGGGAGGGACUGUUAAAGGUCCGAAAGCGUUUUGCAGAGUGAAUGUUUUACGUAUAUUACUUGCUUUUAG